GAUGAACGCUAGCGGCAGGCCUAACACAUGCAAGUCGAGGGAGAAGCCCUUUCGGGGGCAGAAACCGGCGCACGGGUGCGUAACGCGUAUGCAACCUACCUUUCACAGGGGGAUAGCCCGAAGAAAUUUGGAUUAAUACCCCAUAAUAUUAUUGGAUGGCAUCAUUUGAUAAUUAAAACUGCGGUGGUGAAAGAUGGGCAUGCGUCCUAUUAGCUAGUUGGAGUGGUAACGGCACCCCAAGGCUACGAUAGGUAGGGGUCCUGAGAGAGAGAUCCCCCACACUGGUACUGAGACAGGGACCAGACUCCUACGGGAGGCAGCAGUGAGGAAUAUUGGUCAAUGGUCGGAAGACUGAACCAGCCAUGCCGCGUGCAGGAAGAAUGCCUUAUGGGUUGUAAACUGCUUUUAUAUGGGAAGAAUAAGGCGUACGUGUACGUUGAUGACG
rnacentral:rRNA from 1 species